AUGAGAUCUACAUGCAUCUAUUGAGUCCCAGAGUGCUGAGGAACAGAAAGUUUUAAAUAACUUAUAUGUUAUUGUUUGUUUAUCCUGCUCAUUUUACCUUAAUCUAGCAUCCAAUUAAGCAUAUCCGUCUCAAAUUAUGAAUAUAUUCUCAAAUUAUGAAUAUAUUCAGAAUUGAGGUCAGUGCAUUUCGUUAGGGAAAAUAAAUGGUUCUUCAGUGGGUUAUUACUGUCAGCCAUACCUCUAGUAAGUUUAAUAUGGAAAUCUGCCAAAUAUUCAGUUCAUAGUCAUUAUAAUGAAGUAGAUUUUUUUCUAUUACAUGCAAAUUUAGGUUUUUUUAAAGUAUGUUCCAGCUAUUGUCAAGAAAACAGCUACAAACAUGUCAAAAAUGUCCACCUUUUUAUUGUUUCUGCUUCAGUCUGGGAACAUUCAACUGAGGUUCGAAUUUUCAGGAAGAAAAUUCUAGAUAUGAGAUAAUAAUACAAAGAGAGAGUGAAAGUGCCACAGCUUGGUCCAAGUUCUACUUUAUUAGAGGUGACAAUGUGCAUAUUCAUAUUUUCAACUAUCAGCUGUAGAUA
rnacentral:lncRNA from 1 species